GAGCCUCCAGCCCUUAGAGAGAGAGACACACACACACACACACGUUUCACCACCUGCAACACUUAAGCCCCCAGCCCCUACACACAUACACACACACACGCGCUGGGCCACUUCCAACACUUGAGCCCCUUGCCCCUACACACACACACACACACACACACACGCACACGCUGAUGCGGGAGCAUUUAGCAGUUUCCUUGCUGAAAAAGCAGGACCUCGGUUUAGAAAAUGGAAAUUGCCCAGGAGGAAAAGAGAACUGAGAUAUAUGCAGCCCCAGGUGCCUUCUUCUAAUUCAUCUUGUAUGGCUUCACCACUGUGGCUGUCAAGAUGGCAUGCAAAAUUAUCCCUCUUUCCAGGAAUAUUUGACUGUACCUGGGGCUGUAAAUGAAAGGAAACAAGAAUCUAUCGAUUUUUGCAACUAACGGAAAUGGAAAUGAAAGCAAAAUGGAAGGACGUGAGGUCCUUAUCCUUGGAGAUCCUAUGGAGUCUCCACAGACAUUCCUUGAAGAAAUCAGGUGUGACGGAUGCUAAUGCAGAGCCUGGUGUUUAGCAAAAAUUGGAACGACCUGGAGCAGCCAGCAGAGUGACAAAUGAGGAAGAGGACAGAAUCCAGCUGAAGAAGCUCCGGAAGAUACCAUUUGAAGUCUGAGUGCUUGAACUCGCAAAGAAAGCACGGGGAGAACCAAUUCCAAGCUGGCCUUGCCACCUCUGUGCGUUUCUUCAAGCUGAGCCUUUAGCCUGGGCUGUCCUCAGGGGACAUGUGGCCAUUCAUUGCCUCCUUCAAAGCCGUCAGAGACCCUCCUCCAUAGGAUUUUCCUUUUCUCCUACAAGUCAAGACCUGGAACAUCAGCUAAUGGUAAUCCUCAGUUUAGCAUAGCUGCCCGCAAAGGUAAGCACUCUGAAGGCACUCUUAAUCUAAUCUUAACAAUGAUGUGAGUUAGGCAGUCAUCUGCUGGUAAAUGUUUAACAACUGGUUCUUGGGGGAAGGGAGGAAGAUAGUACAUGCAUAUAUUUGCAUACAUACAUUUAUUGUAACUGUGGUUGAUAUAAAGGACACAAAGCCCACUUAAAUAUUCAAUACUCCUUUUUGUAAAUUCCAUAUAGCCCCUCGAUUCUUAAAGAAUAUUUUGUUGUUUUUUGGUCAAAUAAUUAUAUCUAUAGCCAAACUGUGGUUGUGAAGGACAGGUAAGGAUAAUUCCAACAUAAAUAUUUGUUGAUAUUUUGUUUUCAUUAGUGAGUAAGGUGAAAGUGAAAAUGUGAAAUGCUGGAACUUCACUUAUUUAUUAAUGAUAUGAGUGAAUUCUUUGCUAGCUUAGAUAAUAGCGAUGAAAUGCUAAAAUAAUAUUUGCUCAAGUUGUUAUUUGCAGACACUGCACAAUUUUAUGGUUAAUAUGCAUCAUUAACAUCAUUUCUAACACAUGCUUAAGUCUAGAGAAUUAAAAUAACAAUAAAUUAAGCCCUGAUUUGCCUAUUUCCAUGGUGUAAAUAUUUCCAUCACCACUGAUUUCAAGCUGCUGACUUGAUGUCACUGAACAUGGAGGCAAGAAAAGAUGCACAGCUGCUCCCUGUUACACAAUAUUUCUACUAUACAGAUAUAAUAGAUGUAAAUAAACCAAAUAAUAUAGGUACAUGUAAAAUAAUUAGAAAGUUUUGAGUCUUGAGGAUUUAUUACCUUUGUUUUAAUGUGAUUGAUUUGAUGAUAAAUUUGUAUAAUUUAGUCCUUAAUUAUGACUGUGCUUAAUAAUUGACCCGAACAUUUUCUGAAAAUUUAAUAAUCAGCUCUGACAUUCCAGUACAAGCCAACCCCAGCAUCUCGCUGGAAUAAGAGAUUAUUAAUGCCCUUUUUACUGAUGAGGAAACAGUUCUCUAGUCCAAAUGUAAACGUGUCGAUUGAGUAAAUAAAUCUAUAUAAAUCAAAAUUAUUUCACCAGUGCUCCACCAACCUGAGAUCCUGGUCAUAUUUAUCUUCUUCAUCUCUGUAUCAUUGGGCCCAGCACUGCAACUGGCUUGGGGCAGAGCUCAAUCGAUUCUUGUCAACUUUGCCCUUCCCUCCCUAUUCAGCCGUUUAUAAAGAAGGCUGAACUACAAACUUAUUUUGGUGAGAGCAUAGGAAAGAUCUAUUCUUGAGCAGUGAAACACAACUAGCUUCCUCCACUCCAUACCGCAGAUCUGACCUAGCUCUGUGACCUCAGCCUGCCACUGCACUCUAAGGCUCAAAAUGGAAACCACGUGAUAGAAACAGAAUAAGAAAAUAAUUACAAAAGGCCUUUUGUAAACUGUAGAGCGCUGCAUUCUAGGGAUUUGUUCUUUUAAAAGAAGAGAACCCAUGGUGGAGGUGGGAAGAAAUAUUUUCUCACUUCUCUGUAGGUAUCCAUAUCUCUUACUAAAAAAUAUAUUGACUCUGGAGAAGAUGGGAGAAGCCCUCCCACUAGAAGCAACUAUAAUAGUAGACAAAAAAAUAUAUGAAAUAAUUAUCCCCAAGCACUGUUACAAGAAGCAGUGCAGGAUUCCAUUGGCUUUCCACCUGGACACACUUUUUUAUAAUGUAAACUAGGGAGAAGGAUCUAGAACAGCACAAUCCAGCUCAGUUGGGGAGACUGAGAUGACAGUUUGGGGUCAUGAUGUUUUUGUAACAUGACGUUACAAAAUUAUGUAUAAAUUAGAUAUUUAUGCUGGAUUCAAGAUAGACCAAUGUAUUUUAACAUGACAUAGUAUGAAAAGUUUAUUGAUAUGGUUUCACAUUCUGCAUUGCAACUAA